UCCUUGACACAUUUUCUUCUCUUGGUUUCCCCAACAUUAUACUUUUCUUGAGUUUCCUCCUCCAUCACAGUUAGUGCUUCAGUAGUCUUUGUUAGCCUCCUUUUCCAGUUCUAUUUCUUCCCAGCCUCAUAAACUUGGAGUUCUCAAGUCCCUUCUCCUCCUUUUUUUCCUGCUAUAGGAACAAAAUUUGGAGGGAGGUAGCUCAGGGAAAGGAUGUAAACUGUAGUAACUUUUGGUUGAUCUCAUGUGUGUCAGGGGUCUUCAAAACCACCUUUAGGUUCCAGUGAUUCAUUAAAAGGAGUCACACAAUUCAGCAUAUAAUCAUACUCUUAGCUAAAAUUUAUUACAGCAAAAGGGUGUAAAGCAAAA
rnacentral:lncRNA from 1 species